UUUAUAAGAGUUCUAUUACCAUAAAUCAGAAUUAAAACUAAAACGAAGAUUGAAUGUUGGUACCAACAAACACUGAACAUUCGCCUAACGUUAGCAUAUGGUUUCCAUGUUUUUUUGAGAACCAAUUCCUAACGUUCUAAGAACAUUCUCUUUAGGUUUCAUUUUUAUAACCAUACUAUAACUAAUGUUCCCAGAAGGUUGCAGGGAGGUUUUUGUCUGACAAAUGAAUAAGAAUUUACACAACCAACACAGAACGUUGUCCUAACGUUAGUAUAUGGUUCCAGUAUUUUUCAGAAUUAUCCUAACGUUCUAAGAACGUUCUCUUUAGGUUUCAUUUUUAUAAUCAUACUAUAACUAACGUUCCCAGAAGGUUGCAGGGAGGUUUUUGUCUGAAAAAUGAAUAAGAACUUACACAACCAACACAGAACGUUGUCCUAACGUUAGUAUAUGGUUCCAGUAUUUUUCAGAAUUAUCCUAACGUUCUAAGAACGUUCUCUUUAGGUUUCAUUUUUAUAAUCAUACUAUAACUAAAGUUCCCAGAAGGUUGCAGGGAGGUUUUUGUCUGACAAAUGAAUAAGAACUUAAACAACCAACACAGAACGUUGUCCUAACGUUAGUAUAUGGUUCCAGUAUUUUCUGGAAUUAUUCCUAACGUUCUAAGAACGUUCUCUUUAGGUUUCAUUUUUAUAAUCAUACUAUAACUAAAGUUCCCAGAAGGUUGCAGGGAGGUUUUUGUCUGACAAAUGAAUAAGAAUUUACACAACCAACACAGAACGUUGUCCUAACGUUAGUAUAUGGUUCCAGUAUUUUUCAGAAUUAUCCUAACGUUCUAAGAACGUUCUCUUUAGGUUUCAUUUUUAUAAUCAUACUAUAACUAAAGUUCCCAGAAGGUUGCAGGGAGGUUUUUGUCUGACAAAUGAAUAAGAACUUAAACAACCAACACAGAACGUUGUCCUAACGUUAGUAUAUGGUUCCAGUAUUUUCUGGAAUUAUUCCUAACGUUCUAAGAACGUUCUCUUUAGGUUUCAUUUUUAUAAUCAUACUAUAACUAACGUUCCCAGAAGGUUGCAGGGAGGUUUUUGUCUGAAAAAUGAAUAAGAACUUACACAACCAACACAGAACGUUGUCCUAACGUUAGUAUAUGGUUCCAGUAUUUUUCAGAAUUAUCCUAACGUUCUAAGAACGUUCUCUUUAGGUUUCAUUUUUAUAACCAUACUAUAACUAACGUUCCC